UACCAGCACCCCGAGUGGUCGGGACGUUUAUUGGGCCUAAAGCAUCCGUAUCCGGUUCUACAAGUCUUCCGUUAAAUCCACCUGCUUAACAGAUGGGCUGCGGAAGAUACUAUAGAGCUAGGAGGCGGGAGAGGCAAGCGGUACUCGAUGGGUAGGGGUAAAAUCCGUUGAUCCAUUGAAGACCACCAGUGGCGAAGGCGGCUUGCCAGAACGCGCUCGACGGUGAGGGAUGAAAGCUGGGGGAGCAAACCGG
rnacentral:rRNA from 1 species